rnacentral:tRNA from 1 species
GGCGGAUUCGUCUAUCGGCUAGGACGGAUGCCUCUCACGCAUCAAAGAGCAGUUCGAUUCUGCUAUCCGCUA